CGGAGAUCUGUGGAGGAGAUUCAAGAGCUCCCUUAGCUGUGAGUGGAGAUCCUCCUGAUCGGUUCCGGAAGGCCCUUGAUCCGCAAGUUGUUACGCCGGCUGCAGUCAUCCAUUGUGCGUUGCAUCCCAGAGAGGAGGUAUGUAUGUGAAGAAAUAUCAGCUUGUAACUGCUGCAUCUGAGUGAAAUGUACAUCAUGGUCUUCAUCCAUGGAGGUAACCCUGUCUCCCACCUGGCGGAUGUCUGCGCCUAUGGCCCCCAGUUUCAUUUUAAAUUAGACUUUCC